rnacentral:ncRNA from 1 species
GAAAGGUCGUAUUUCGCGGCUGGGUGCUGGAACAAUUCCAGAACCCCAAUUAAA